UCGUCAGUCGUGUCGUGAGAUGUUGGGUUAAGUCCCGCAACGAGCGCAACCCUUGAUUUUAGUUGCCAGCAUUUAGUUGGGCACUCUAAAGUGACUGCCGGUGCAAGCCGGAGGAAGGUGGGGAUGACGUCAAAUCAUCAUGCCCCUUAUGACCUGGGCUACACACGUGCUACAAUGGAUGGAACAAAGGGCAGCGAAGCCGCGAGGUGAAGCCAAUCCCAUAAAACCAUUCUCAGUUCGGAUUGUAGGCUGCAACUCGCCUACAUGAAGCCGGAAUCGCUAGUAAUCGCGGAUCAGCAUGCCGCGGUGAAUACGUUCCCGGGCCUUGUACACACCGCCCGUCACACCACGAGAGUUUGUAACACCCGAAGUCGGUAGGGUAACCUUUAUGGA
rnacentral:ncRNA from 1 species